rnacentral:rRNA from 1 species
AACGGUAACAGCAGAGCUUGCUCUGGCUGACGAGUGGCGGACGGGUGAGUAACGCGUAGGAAUCUACCCAGUAGCGGGGGAUAGCCCGGGGAAACUCGGAAUAAUACCGCAUACGCCCCACGGGGGGAAAGAGGGCCUCUUCUUGAAAGCUCUCACUAUUGGAGGAGCCUGCGUUGGAUUAGCUAGUUGGUGGGGUAAAGGCCUACCAAGGCGACGAUCCAUAGCUGGUCUGAGAGGACGAUCAGCCACACUGGAACUGAGACACGGUCCAGACUCC